rnacentral:rRNA from 1 species
UACGGGGGGUGCGAGCGUUGUCCGGAAUCACUGGGCGUAAAGGGCGCGUAGGUGGUUUGAUAAGGGUGUGGUGAAAGUCCGGGGCUCAACUCCGGAUCUGCCGUGCCGACUGUCAAACUCGAGGGCUGUAGAGGCAGACGGAAUUCCGGGUGUAGCGGUGGAAUGCGUAGAGAUCCGGAGGAAGACCGGUGGCGAAGGCGGCAUCCUGGACUGGUCCUGACGCUCAGGAGCGAAAGCGUGGGGAGCGAUCCGG